GCGACUGUGGCUCAGUGGGAAGAGUAGUCGUCUUGCAAUCAGAAGGUUGUGGGUUCAAGUUGCCUACCGAUCUGCGCA